rnacentral:tRNA from 1 species
CUCUCUAUAGCUCAACCUGGCAGAGUUUCCGGUUCGGAGCCGGAAGAUGGUGGUUCGAAUCCACCUGGGGAGACCA